rnacentral:rRNA from 1 species
AGAGUUUGAUCAUGGCUCAGAUUGAACGCUGGCGGCAGGCCUAACACAUGCAAGUCGAACGGUAACAGGAAACAGCUUGCUGUUUCGCUGACGAGUGGCGGACGGGUGAGUAAUGUCUGGGAAACUGCCUGAUGGAGGGGGAUAACUACUGGAAACGGUAGCUAAUACCGCAUAACGUCGCAAGACCAAAGAGGGGGACCUUCGGGCCUCUUGCCAUCAGAUGUGCCCAGAUGGGAUUAGCUAGUAGGUGGGGUAACGGCUCACCUAGGCGACGAUCCCUAGCUGGUCUGAGAGGAUGACCAGCCACACUGGAACUGAGACACGGUCCAGACUCCUACGGGAGGCAGCAGUGGGGAAUAUUGCACAAUGGGCGCAAGCCUGAUGCAGCCGUGCCGCGUGUAUGAAGAAGGCCUUCGGGUUGUAAAGUACUUUCAGCGGGGAGGAAGGGAGUAAAGUUAAUACCUUUGCUCAUUGACGUUACCCGCAGAAGAAGCACCGGCUAACUCCGUGCCAGCAGCCGCGGUAAUACGGAGGGUGCAAGCGUUAAUCGGAAUUACUGGGCGUAAAGCGCACGCAGGCGGUUUGUUAAGUCAGAUGUGAAAUCCCCGGGCUCAACCUGGGAACUGCAUCUGAUACUGGCAAGCUUGAGUCUCGUAGAGGGGGGUAGAAUUCCAGGUGUAGCGGUGAAAUGCGUAGAGAUCUGGAGGAAUACCGGUGGCGAAGGCGGCCCCCUGGACGAAGACUGACGCUCAGGUGCGAAAGCGUGGGGAGCAAACAGGAUUAGAUACCCUGGUAGUCCACGCCGUAAACGAUGUCGACUUGGAGGUUGUGCCCUUGAGGCGUGGCUUCCGGAGCUAACGCAUUAAGUCGACCGCCUGGGGAGUACGGCCGCAAGGUUAAAACUCAAAUGAAUUGACGGGGGCCCGCACAAGCGGUGGAGCAUGUGGUUUAAUUCGAUGCAACGCGAAGAACCUUACCUGGUCUUGACAUCCACGGAAGUUUUCAGAGAUGAGAAUGUGCCUUCGGGAACCGUGAGACAGGUGCUGCAUGGCUGUCGUCAGCUCGUGUUGUGAAAUGUUGGGUUAAGUCCCGCAACGAGCGCAACCCUUAUCCUUUGUUGCCAGCGGUCCGGCCGGGAACUCAAAGGAGACUGCCAGUGAUAAACUGGAGGAAGGUGGGGAUGACGUCAAGUCAUCAUGGCCCUUACGACCAGGGCUACACACGUGCUACAAUGGCGCAUACAAAGAGAAGCGACCUCGCGAGAGCAAGCGGACCUCAUAAAGUGCGUCGUAGUCCGGAUUGGAGUCUGCAACUCGACUCUAUGAAGUCGGAAUCGCUAGUAAUCGUGGAUCAGAAUGCCACGGUGAAUACGUUCCCGGGCCUUGUACACACCGCCCGUCACACCAUGGGAGUGGGUUGCAAAAGAAGUAGGUAGCUUAACCUUCGGGAGGGCGCUUACCACUUUGUGAUUCAUGACUGGGGUGAAGUCGAACAAGGUAACCGUAGGGGAACCUGCGGUUG